AAUGAACGCUGGCGGUAUACUUUACACAUGCAAGUCGAACGGAUGUCUUUCUUCGGAAAGGCGUUAGUGGCGAACGGGUGAGUAACGCGUGGGAACAUGCCCAUAGGAAGGGAAUAAUUUUCGGAAACGAUUUGUAAUACCCUAUAUGCUCGCAAGAGUAAAGGCGCAAGUCGCCUAUGGAUUGGCCCGCGUCAGAUUAGGUAGUUGGUGGGGUAAAUGCCUACCAAGCCGAUGAUCUGUAACUGGUCUGAGAGGAUGUACAGUCACACCGGAACUGAGAUACGGUCCGGACUCCUACGGGAGGCAGCAGUGGGGAAUAUUGGACAAUGAGGGAAACCUUGAUCCAGUGAUACCGCGUGGAGGACGAAGGCUUUUUUAGGUUGUAAACUUCUUUUGAUGAUGAAGAUGAUGACGUUAGUCAUAGAAUAAGCGUCGGUUAAUUCCGUGCCAGCCGCCGCCGUAACAC
rnacentral:rRNA from 1 species